AUUGAACGCUGGCGGCAGGUUUAACACAUGCAAGUCGAGCGGGCGAGGUUGCUUCGGUAACUGAGCUAGCGGCGGACGGGUGAGUAAUGCUUAGGAAUCUGCCUAUUAGUGGGGGACGACAUUCCGAAAGGGAUGCUAAUACCGCAUACGUCCUACGGGAGAAAGCAGGGGAUCAUUUGACCUUGCGCUAAUAGAUGAGCCUAAGUCGGAUUAGCUAGUUGGUGGGGUAAAGGCCUACCAAGGCGACGAUCUGUAGCGGGUCUGAGAGGAUGAUCCGCCACACUGGGACUGAGACACGGCCCAGACUCCUACGGGGGGCAGCAGUGGGGAAUAUUGGACAAUGGGGGGAACCCUGAUCCAGCCAUGCCGCGUGUGUGAAGAAGGCCUUUUGGUUGUAAAGCACUUUAAGUGGGGAGGAGGCUUACCUGGUUAAUACCUGGGCUAAGUGGACGUUACCCACAGAAUAAGCACCGGCUAACUCUGUGCCAGCCGCCGCGGUAAGAC
rnacentral:rRNA from 1 species